rnacentral:rRNA from 1 species
GGAAUAUUGGACAAUGGAGGCAACUCUGAUCCAGCCAUCCCGCGUGCAGGAUGAAUGCCCUACGGGUUGUAAACUGCUUUUGUUAGGGAAGAACUCCUCUCUUUUAAGAGGGGCUGACGGUACCUUUCGAAUAAGCACCGGCUAACUCCGUGCCAGCAGCCGCGGCAAUACGCAGGGUGCAAGCGUUAUCCGGAAUCACUGGGUUUAAAGGGUGCGUAGGCGGCGCAGUAAGUCAGAGGUGAAAGCCCGUGGCUCAACCAUGGAAUUGCCUUUGAUACUGUUGUGCUUGAAUCAGGUUGAGGACAGCGGAAUGUGGCAUGUAGCGGUGAAAUGCAUAGAUAUGCCAUAGAACACCGAUUGCGAAGGCAGCUGUCUGGGCCUGUAUUGACGCUGAGGCACGAAAGCGUGGGGAGCGAAC